rnacentral:lncRNA from 1 species
AGUCGCGUCGGGCCUCCCGAGGGGGCUGCGAGUGUCAGUCGGCUCUCCGCACGUGUCCGCGGCCUCGCGGAGCAGUCCACCCCUGGCUGGUUUCUGCUUCCACCUGCUGAUCUCACAGAGGUGAGGUGAUAACAGUGAUGAAACAAAAUCUUCAAACCACAGCACACUUGAUUUUGACACAAAGCAAGAUACUGAACAUUAACACCACCACAGAGGCCUACUAUGUGCUCCUGUCCCUGUUGUUACUUCCUCCAAAGUGUUGGAGGAGGGGCCUUGUGGAAGGUGAUUGAAUCACGGGGACGGACUUUCCUGUUGCUGCUCUUGUGAUGGAUUUCUCACAAGAUCUGGUUGUUUGAAAGUGUGUAGCACCUGCCACUUCACUCCCUCUCUCUCCUCCUGGCCAUGUGAAGACUGUGCCUGCUUCCUCUUUGUCUUCCACCAUGAUUCACUGCAAGCUAUUUGGCAUAUGAAGGUCUUGACCUGAGAAAACCAUCUUGGAUAACUGCAGCAAGGAAAAGGAAAAAUGCAACACCUAGGAGAUUUCAGUAAACAGUAGAAUCAUGCCAACCUAAUCUGUGUUAAAAUGCUUGGAAUGUGGGAGCCGCUGAUGAUGCCUCUUGUCUGUGUGUCUGACUGAAUCCUUUCUUUUCUCAGAGCAGCAAAGCAAAGCCUGGGAACCAGGCCAAAUGCCUGCCACUUACCUUAAAUUGAUCAGCCACUUUGAGAUUAAAACCCCUGAAAGCUGCCACACCGUGAAAACAAGGCCUCCUUCACAUUAAAGGCAAAUUGCGACUUUGGGUUUGCUGUGAUCUUUUUUCCAUUUUAUCCAGUUUUUCACAGUGCACUUUUUUCCCCCUUUCCAUUUAUGCUCCAAUAUAGAAGCCAAUAGUUACAGCAUCUUGGCCAAGCAUUCAUUAAGGUUUAUAAGAACAAAAUUUAUGGUUAUUUAGGAGUUGGCACAAAGGCAGACUGUUGCUGGAAAAAGAAAAAGAAAUACAGGUGGGAAAUAGAAGCCUCCACAAAGGCCCACACUAUACAGUAGUGUACUAGACUCUAGUAGUGGGCUGGGAGGAAAAUGAAAUAGUAUUUGAAACCAGCUACUCUUCUAUUCUGAAUCAUUCUCAUUUAUGGCUCUGCAGAUUAUUGAAACAAGUAUACUGGUUAUUCCAGGAGAUUUUUCUGUCUUGGGUAAAUGCUACCAUUUACAGGAGCUGACAGUAGAGAUAAAUAGAUGUGUGCCAAUCUGAGUGAUCUGGCAGUUUGGCUAAAGGAUAAAGUGCAUUUAAAAAAGAAAUAUAUAUA